UUUUGCUUUCCUUUCCCUACUAGCAAAUGUCUUUUCCUUGUGCGCGAUAUGAGGCAUGUUCACGAAACAGCAGAUCAUGAAGCUGUAGAAGAUCCUCUUUUUCACAGGAUUCUGCCAGCUGUAAAAGGGAACAUGUAACUUCUGUUGAAUUUAGGGGAUGAUGCUCCACAGAAAUCUACCCAGGGUACCAUUCCAGUCCUCCUGGGAGCCCAUUUUGAACUCACCACACAAAGCCAAGGAACGAACAAGCAGAAAGCAAAUGGAGAGAAUGUCUGACCCGCAGAGCCCGGAAAAGACGUUGCUGUUGUCCAGGUCACACGGCUGCCCUUCCGAGUUGCCGCACUCGUAACAGCAGCCGCAUCUGUCCAGAACCAGCCCGGCUCUGCAGCCCACCGCCUCCGGGCACUGCUGCGGCACACACCGCUCACACUCCGUCCCAUUCCUGCCCGUCCUGCCUAUGGAGUAGACUUCAUGUGUCUUGUCUUCAUUCCUAAAGCUUUUUGGGUUGGGGGUGGGGGGUCUUUCGGGUGCCUCCCGUUCUUGUUGGCGCACAAAACAAUAACAGAACACGCAAGAUGCAUUUAAACAAAAGCCUAUGAAAAGCAAAUGAUCGAAAAGCUUCUUUAAACCUCGGACGCAAAUCUAGACUGUAAAAUCCCGGGGAAAUAAAGUCAACAGGAAAUCUUUUAUCUUUCGCCCUCUAUCGAUGCCCAUCCCACAGGAGACUGGUCUUGUUCCUAGGCUUGAAAUGCUUGGGAAAAGUUUCCCAGUUCAUCUGUAUACUAAUCUAUUUAAGACAGUUGGUUGUACGAUUCGAAGCUCAAACUAACUCGAACUCAAACUAAACGUAAACCUUUGCCUCUCAUGUUAAUUCCAUUCUAUGGAUUUAUUGACGUGGUCUGUGUGUUUAAUAUUAGCGUUAUGUGCAAAAUAGUACACGAGGUCCAGUCAAUUCAGAAAUGCAUGUCGUGGCAAGCUUGAUAUUCAUAAUCAUAACCACACGAUGGCAGCAACACACAGGACUACAGAUGCGGUACAACAUAAAAUAAGUGCCAGUUGUCUCCUUUGUUUCCCUUACUUGUUUGCACUUACAUUUGGCACGAUUUUGCUUUGUAUUUACACGUAUUGGGUUAGAAACGAUCCCAAAAAUGUAGGAGUUUGAUUACAUUAGAACUGGCCGCAUUAAGUCUUUUAUUCCUUUCUAUCUACCUUUUAUAAUUUCCUUAGCAUUUUAGAGUGUUUUUAAAAAGUGAUGUUUCAAAAUUAUAGACUUGAAUGUAGGACAACAUUCAAGGAAACUCUUUAACCGUGCAUACAACUUUUUUUUUCUAAUUUUCACAAAAAAAUACACUCAAAGAUAUAUUUUAAAGAUUUGAAAAUAGUACUUUUUAUAAUGAAAAAUCUUCAGAAAAGGUCAUACAUGCAGAUGUUGAAUUCAAAGCACUCUCUCCAUGGGAUCCAAAGACAUACUAUAUCCCAAAUCACUGUAAAAGUAUGGUUGUACUAGUUGUGAGUCUAAUUUCUUAUGUCUUAUACGUCUCCUGCUUAAUACACAAUAUCACUCAUGGCACUUUUCAGCCACGAACCUCCUCUGAUGUUUGUGCAAUCAGUCUCCUGCUUGAAGCCACAAGCAGCUUUACAGGCUCUAUUGAGCAAAAGCACAGAUCUGUAGGGACUCGAAUGAAGGCAACAGAUGUUCCUGCAGAGCAAGGAAACACAAUGACCUGGUGGUUCCAGCAGGUCUCUGAAGAUGGCAAAGCACGUUACUUUGACUACUUCUCUUGAUAAUAUCAAAGAAUAUAUUUCAUGAUUAAUGAUACAUUAGAUAACUAUAGAACCCACUUACUAUGCAUUCAAAAUGAUCUUUUGAUGUAUUAAUGCUAAAAGAGACCUGCUUAGUAAUCCGGGCCGAGGCAUAUUUAAGUUGAGGAAUUACUAUGUUUAGGUUCAAGUAGAAUCUUAAUUGGGUUGCUUUGUUAGAUAUAUAGAUAAUUUAUAAAUCUGUACUACUAGGAAAUAAAUCCGGUCACACAUUCUAUGUGUGUGUCUUUCUGUAUAAAAGCAUAAAAUGUGACAUUUUAUUAGACAAGUAAUAUAUGACUUUUAUAAGGCCAUAAGAACAUAUAAUGGAAAUAUUAAUUCAAGCUGCAUUGUGGUGAUUCUGUUGUGUUAUAGAAUAUAGGCGUGACACCGUGCAGCUGGAGUAUGAAUGGAGUACAAAGCAAAAUUAUGAAAUUUGUUAUGUGAUUUGCAUGGAUACUAUGUGAAGAGAGUGUGUGACCAGUAAACAGAGGAAACGAGUACAACUGCGGUUUAUAGUAGAUAUAUUUAGCAAUGCAUGAGCUGCCAGAUCUAUGAGCCCAGCUGUUUUGCUAUUAGCUUGUUUGUAGUCCUUCUUAACAAUGUUUAUUCAGUGUAAUUAUGUUUCUUUAUUGAAGUGCGAACUGUGGGACAAAACACACGAAGACCACUUGUAUAAAUCCAGUUCUGUCACUGGAAGAUAAUAUUCAUUUGAACAAUCAUCAUAGGCAGUUAAAGACAUGUUUAAAAUUUUAAUUCUGUUAGAAACAUAAUAUCAAUUCUGCACUCAUCAACGACAGGCUGCUCUUAUGGGACGUUUCGGAAUGACUGGAUCGUGGUAAUGUUCUGUUCUUUUAGUUACGGAUCAUAUGCAGGUACCUGAUGAUUAUUUCUUCUCUGGUGAAAUCUCAGUUAUUUUGACAUUUUCGGCUAAUGCAUGUAUAAUGGUGUCAAAUCUAUUUAAAUCGUUUAAAAUGCUUAACCCAGCCAGGUGCACCGUACGAGCCACGGACCCAUUUGGAAGGAUCUGGACGAAAACGCCCCACUGGGUUAGGUACGGGCGCCCUCUAGCGUGUGAAUUGGCAGACCGGCGAAAGCAUAGGCGGGGUCACAUUCGCGUGGCGUUUAUAGGGUUACCGGACAGGUGCAUGAUUUAAAUACGGGGCUCAAACUGCGCUAGUAUUUACCUCACAUAACGUGUACAUGUGUUUAUCUUUUCUUAAAUGGCCUUGAAAUACAGGGGAGGACUUACUAUAAGGCAAAUGAUUAGUCAACUGCCAUUAGAGACCCUCUGAAGACAAAAAGUUACAUUUCUGGAUAUAAGACAAUAUAAUCAUUUUUAACCCAUACAAGUUGUUUUAUUUUGGUAUUUUAUCAUAAGCACAGCAGUGCAAAAUGGAUUUAUGCAAGCCUAUCUGGAAAGACACAAUGGGGAAACCGAAUCUGAAAAUGGGAACUAUUAUCCACAAUGACUUUUCCUGAACAAAAAAAGUUCAAACGUUGCCUGGGAUGUUGAUCUCCACUUGAGAUGUGGCAUAGUCUUGGGCUACAGAAGAGGCCAAAGGUAUUAAAAACUGACUGAGAAGCAGAGUUUGAUACGGCAGUGCGGACAGCGCUUGGCAAACUUUGCAGGGAGCGGGAAACCUGACUGGAUCCUCUAACACCAGGAAAGUGGCUUUUCUGUGGCACUAAUGUUCUUCUGCCGCUGUAGCUCUUGGUCAGAGGCAGCAAAGGUCCCAUGCUAAGUGCCCCCCAGGGAGGCUGUCACGCUGGGUAUGUACCCCUCUCAUUGCCCCAAUGCACAUUUUCCACCCAUGCUGCAUGGUGUGUAGACUUUGAGUU